UCGGAAGGGAAAAUACCCGUGCCCGAAGGCCCACCCCAGCCGGCAGCGGACCCCAAAUCAAGCGUACAAAGACUGAGGACCAGAGAAGUGAGGUGGCCUCUCUAAGGGCUCAGAGGCAAGAAGCGUUGACGCCAAGAAGCAGGGCAGGAGGGGGCUUCCGCAGACUGGCCAGCGGGGAACCCAGUCGCGCCUCUGCCCGCAGGCUGUAGGCUGUCCCGGAACAGACCCACCAGGACAUCCGAAGAGGCAGGUGCCUGGCCCUGGGCCUGACCUGAAGAGGCUCUGCCCUGGGCAGAGGUGCCCCCGCCCACCCCAGGCUGCAGACUACUCCAGCCCAGACCUCCUGCUCACCAGCACCAGCACCAGCACUGACUCUGCAGGCUGAUGGCGCUUUCCUUCCUCCCAGCCCAGGGAGCUGUCCAAAGGCUGAAAUGCAAGGGCCCUCGGAGUGGUCCGGAAGCCCUCCAGGAACCCGCGGCUGCCUCCAGGAAAGCCCAGCCCCCUCACCAUGGAUGGCCUCCAGGCACCCGCGGAACUUCACUUCUAACGAGAGCACUGUGUGCCUGCCACACCAGAGAAACCCGAGUCUGUCCCUACUUGGGGCCUCUGACCUUGCCGACACCUCCCCUAGAACGCUGUUCCCCAUCUCGUCCCUUUCCUCUGACCCUUUAGGACUUAGCUCAAAGGCCGCCUCCUUCCAGAAGCCCUCCCUCAGCCACCCUCCACUCCAGUUAUUGUUCAGUCACUAAGUAGUGUCCGACUCUGCAAUCCCAUGGACUGCAGCAUGCCAGGCUUCCCUGUCCAUCACUGUCUCCCGGCGUUUGCUCAGACUCACGUCCCUUGAGUCAGUGGCCAGUUUUGUUUUCUUUGUAGCGCUCUCUGGAACUCAGGCACUGUCACCUUGCCUUACUGUUUCCCCCUCUGAAAUGCAAGCUCUCUGAAAGCAGGUGCUUUUUUGGUCUUCUCUUCUGCAGUAUGCCCUUCUGAAAGGGACACACCAUGUGCUUAGAUCCUAUUUGUUGAAUGGAUGGAUCCUUCCAGGCUCCCACAGCCCACAGAAUGAAAUCCAGGGCUGGCUUUCCAAGCUCAAGUGGACAUGGGCCUCUGCCAAUCUCCACGGGCAAAUUGCCUUCAGAGCUCACCUUCUUCCUCUGGGUUCGGCAACUUGGGGUUCCCUAUGUACCCAUCCUCCGAGCUUCCUGUGUUUGCUGGGCAAGUUCUACUGGCCUCUAUAGCCUCGGCUCAAAUCUCUCCUCUCUGGAAGCUGUCUCUGACUUCACAGGAGGCCUAUUUAAUAGUGAUGGCCUGUCUUCCCAUAGUUCAGGCAUCUUGGGCUUAGCACUAAUCGUACUGCAUUGAAAUUACUUCCCAAUGAGGCUGCCCUCACAGUGCAGGGCUGGAGGGCAGGGUGGGGUUUCAUUCAUUUUUGUAGAAUGGAGUCCAGCACUGGUCUGCAGAUAAGCCCCGUUGAAUGAGGACAUCUGCCCUGUAGACUGACACUUUAUAGAGCUGGAUGUACACACUAGCGCUUCCCAGGUGGCGCUAGUGGUAAAGAACCCGCCUGCCAGUGCAGGAGACAUAAGAGAUGCGGGUUUGAUCCCUGGGGCAGAAAGAUACCCUGGAGAAGGAAAUGGCAACCCACUCCAGCAUUCUUGCCUGAAGAAUCUCAUGGACAGAGGAGCCUGGCAGGCUACAGUCCAUGGGGUCACAAAGAGUUGGACACUACUGAAGCAACUUAGCAUGCAAGCACUGAUCUGGGAGUUAAACAUUUGAAAGCGUGGAAACUGGUUUUUCCAUUCACUUGCUGUAUGACCCUGGGCAGGUGAUUUCACCUCUCUCAGCCUCUGAGGAUCCUUAUCUUUGAAAUGAGGGCAGUAACAUGGGCUGAUCAGUGGUAAAGAAUUCACCUGUCAAAGCAGGAGAUGCACGAGACCCAAGUUUGGAUCCCUGGGUCAGGAAGAUCCCCUGGAGAAGGAAAUGGCAAACCACUCCAGUAUUCUUCCCUGGGAAAUCCCAUGGACACAGGAGCCUGGCGGGUUACAGUCCGUGGGACAGGAGAGUCAGACACGACUGAGUAUGCACACAACGUGGGCUGACAGGAACUUCAUUAAUCUUUUUUCUUUUGUUUUUAAUGGUUCCUUGUGCAAUACAGUAGGGCCCUGUUAUGGUUAAUCUUAAAUAUAAUACUGACUACCAUGCACAAGGAGUUCAAAAAGUUCACAAAGGGUUUAUCACACCGAAGUUUGAAAUAGAGAAAAUCAGAAAUAACACAGAAUGCUACCAUAGGACAGUAGCUAAAUUAAGUGUAGCAUAUUCAUACUCAGGAACAGUACAUGAUCAUGAGAGAUGAUGGAACUGAUCUAUGAAUAUGGACAUGGAAAGUUCUCCAAGACUCUGCUGAAUGCAAAGGCAAGCUGCAGAAUGAUUUACACAACUUAAUAUUAUUGAGGUAAAACACAUACCAAAACCUCUAUGUAUUUUCUAUGAGUGUGCAGGUAUUGACAAAUGCAGAGAAAAGGCCCAAAGGGUAACUAAUCAGCUAAUGACAACUACCUCUGGUGAGUGGACCAGAAGUGGGAAAGUGCAUGUGUGUGUGUGUGCAUGUGUGCAUGCUCAGUUGUGUCUGACUCUUUACAA